GGGAAGGGCAGAAAGCCAGGAUCAACUGUGUUGUUUAAAGGAAGGGCCGCCACACUCUGCUUCAUCUGAUUGGCCAGAGUGUAAUCACAUGGCCAUGUCUAGCUGCAAGGGAGGCUGGAAGAUGUAGCUUUCAUUGUGGGUGAACAUGUGCCAGCUGAACUCAGUUCUAUUACUUUGCAGGGAGCGGGGGAUGGGGUGGCAAACGUGGGAGGAGAGCUGCCGCCUUGUCCACACCAUCUCUGUAUUCCUAGUGCUCAGCUUAGAGACAGACUGCUGGAUAUUCUGAGUGGAUAAGUGAUGCUUGAAUGACUGAGUGAAAGAGUCCAUGAUGGGCAGCAGGACCUGGCCAUGGGCUCCACUCUGCAAGGGGGGACCCUCAUGGGCCAGCAGGCCCAGGGCACCCUCAGCUCAGCUGCCCAGCAGCCCCACGGAGCAUUGUGGUAAAGAGGGUCAGGACGCUUUGAUUUCCAGAUGCCUCAGGGCCAGGGGCUGUGAGCAGGCCUGCAGGGAAGGGGCCGCCUCAGCGCCCGAUGGAGCACUCGGUGAGGCUCCUCCUUGCUUCAGCUCCUCUCCCAUCUCAGUGCCACUAUCCUCUCUGACUUCUGGGGUCUGAGCCCGGCACAGAGCUUCAGCAGAGUCCUCAGCUGACGGCAUCCGUCAAAGUCACUGAAAGGCAUCACCAAGAACAGAGCCAGCCCCCUUUGAGUCCCGAAGGACCGAACGACCCCCCAAACCGAGAGUGAGCUGGGCUGAGGAGUUCCGCGUCAGAUGCUCCAGACCCACGAGUCCAGUUUAGCCUUCUCCCCUGUGCUGAUACGUGGUGCUGAGUUCCCCACCCUGCGUGUCUUCCUAGGGGCUGGGGUGUGCCCGUAAGUCUCCUGGUUUGGGAGAUCGGCUCACAAACUUGGCCCCUUGCUAAUUAUCCCUCCCAGUUGUCCGGCCUGAUAACUGUUGCAUUUGGAAACAAAUGACACCCUUUUCCUACAUCUGCUCCAAAUUUGUCUCUCAGAAAUUAGAGAAUUUAGUUAUGCGGUAUUACAUGGCAGUCCGGCCGGGUCUUGGAGUGUGGAACUGAUUGGAUAUUCCACCCAAAAUAAGUGGAGUUUCGAGCUCUUUCCAGGAAAUUGAGUGGAACACGCAAACUGACAUCCAAUAUUAAAUAUUAUAUUUGUAUGGUU